GGCCAAGUAGCUCAGUUGGUAGAGCAGCGGACUGAAAAUCCGUGUGUCGGUGGUUCAAUUCCACCCUUGGCCACCA
rnacentral:tRNA from 1 species